rnacentral:rRNA from 1 species
GACGAACCGUGCGAACGUUGUUCGGAUUCACUGGGCUUAAAGGGCGCGUAGGCGGGUUCUCAAGUCGGGGGUGAAAGCCCACGGCUCACCCGUGGAACUGCUGGGCAUACUGGCGAUCUUGGGCCAACUAGGGGCAACUGGAACAAGCGGUGGAGCGGUGAAAUGCGUAGAUAUCGCUUGGAACGCCAACGGUGAAGACAGGUUGCUGGGGUUGUGCCGACGCUGAGACACGAAAGCCAGGGGAGCAAACGGG